rnacentral:rRNA from 1 species
GGGAGGCAGCAGUGGGGAAUAUUGCACAAUGGGGGAAACUCUGAUGCAGCCAUGCCGCGUGUGUGAAGAAGGCUUUCGGGUUGUAAAGCACUUUCAGCGAGGAGGAAAGGUCAGUAGCUAAUAUCUGCUGGAUGUGACGUUACUCGCAGAAGAAGCACCGGCUAAUUCCGUGCCAGCAGCCGCGGUAAUACGGAGGGUGCAAGCGUUAAUCGGAAUUACUGGGCGUAAAGCGCACGCAGGCGGUUGGAUAAGUUAGAUGUGAAAGCCCCGGGCUCAACCUGGGAAUUGCAUUUAAAACUGUCCGGCUAGAGUCUUGUAGAGGGGGGUAGAAUUCCAGGUGUAGCGGUGAAAUGCGUAGAGAUCUGGAGGAAUACCGGUGGCGAAGGCGGCCCCCUGGACAAAGACCGACGCUCAGGUGCGAAAGCGUGGGGAGCAAACAGGAUAAGAUACCCUGGUAGUCCACGCCGUAAACGAUGUCGAUUUGGAGGCUGUGUCCUUGAGACGUGGCUUCCGGAGCUAACGCGUUAAAUCGACCGCCUGGGGAGUACGGCCGCAAGGUUAAAACUCAAAUGAAUUGACGGGGGCCCGCACAAGCGGUGGAGCAUGUGGUUUAAUUCGAUGCAACGCGAAGAACCUUACCUGGCCUUGACAUGUCUGGAAUCCUGUAGAGAUACGGGAGUGCCUUCGGGAAUCAGAACACAGGUGCUGCAU